AUUGAACGCUGGCGGAAUGCUUUACACAUGCAAGUCGAGCGGCAGCGCGGGGCAACCUGGCGGCGAGCGGCGAACGGGUGAGUAAUGCAUCGGAACAUGUCCAUGUCGUGGGGGAUAGCCCGGCGAAAGCCGGAUUAAUACCGCAUACGCCCGAGAGGGGAAAGUGGGGGACUCGCAAGGGCCUCACGCGGUUGGGUUGGCCGAUGUCCGAUUAGCUAGUUGGCGGGGUAAUGGCCCACCAAGGCGAUGAUCGGUAGCUGGUCUGAGAGGGUGAUCAGCCACACUGGGACUGGGAAACGGCCCAGACUCCUACGGGAGGCAGCAGUGGGGAAUCUUCCACAAUGGGCGCAAGCCUGAUGGAGCAACGCCGCGUGAGUGAGGAAGGCUUUCGGGUCGUAAAGCUCUGUUGCCAGGGAAGAACGCCUAGGAGAGUAACUGCUCCUGGGGUGACGGUACCUGAGAAGAAAGCCCCGGCUAACCACGUGCCAGCCGCCGCGGUAAGAC
rnacentral:rRNA from 1 species